rnacentral:tRNA from 1 species
GCGGAUGUAGCCAAGUGGAUCAAGGCAGUGGAUUGAA